rnacentral:rRNA from 3 species
UUAGAGGAAGUAAAAGUCGUAACAAGGUUUCCGUAGGUGAACCUGCGGA